rnacentral:sRNA from 2 species
CUUCGAGUUCUUCGCUGGGGAGUAGCCGGCUUUCCGCAAUCGGAAAGCGCCCAUGUCAACACACUCGAUCGUCCGAUCGUGGCAUGGGCAGCCGUCGCAGUUGUUGACGCGGGUUGGCAAGACCAUCGACAGAGUGCGCUUGAAGGUCGGGGGCGCGGUCUGUCGCAUCUUCUUGCCCGACCGAAACGCC